rnacentral:rRNA from 1 species
AACAUUACUUAGUGGCGAACGGGUGAGUAACGCGUAGACAACCUGCCUCAAAGAUGGGGACAACACCGCGAAAGUGGUGCUAAUACCGAAUGUUGCAUUAGAUUCGCAUGAAUCUGAUACUAAAGGUGGCCUCUUUAAAUGCUACCGCUUUGAGAUGGGUCUGCGUCUGAUUAGCUAGUUGGUGAGGUAACAGCUCACCAAGGCGAUGAUCAGUAGCCGGUCUGAGAGGAUGAACGGCCACACUGGGACUGAGACACGGCCCAGACUCCUACGGGAGGCAGCAGUGGGGAAUCUUCCGCAAUGGACGAAAGUCUGACGGAGCAACGCCGCGUGAGUGAAGAAGGUUUUCGGAUCGUAAAGCUCUGUCUUUGAGGACGAAUGUGCUUAAUGUGAAUAAUGCUAAGUAAUGACGGUACUCGAGGAGGAAGCCACGGCUAACUACGUGCCAGCAGCCGCGGUAAUACGUAGGUGGCAAGCGUUGUCCGGAAUUAUUGGGCGUAAAGCGCGCGCAGGCGGGAUAUUAAGUCUGUCUUAAAAGUUCGGGGCUCUACCCCGUGAUGGGAUGGAAACUA